rnacentral:rRNA from 1 species
UACAGAGGUGGCAAGCGUUGUUCGGAAUUACUGGGCGUAAAGGGCGCGUAGGCGGUUCGUUAAGUCCUGUGUGAAAUCCCCCGGCUCAACUGGGGAACUGCACAGGAAACUAGCGGGCUUGAGUUCGGGAGAGGGAAGCGGAAUUCCGGGUGUAGCGGUGAAAUGCGUAGAUAUCCGGAGGAACACCGGUGGCGAAGGCGGCUUCCUGGACCGACACUGACGCUGAGGCGCGAAAGCUAGGGGAGCAAACGGGAUUAGAUACCCGUUGGUAGUCCGAA